CCCUUAGAUGUUCUGGGCCGCACGCGCGUUACACUGAUGCAUUCAACGAGUUCUUCCUUGGCCGAGAGGCCUGGGCAAUCUUUUGAACGUGCAUCGUGAUAGGGAUAGAUUAUUGCAAUUAUUAAUCUUGAACGAGGAAUUCCUAGUAAACGCAGAUCAUCAAUCUGCAUUGAUUACGUCCCUGCCCUUUGUACACACCGCCCGUCGCACCUACCGAUUGGAUGGUCCGGUGAAGCCUCGGGAUUGUGGUUCUUGCCGCUUUAUUGUGGCGUGACCGCGAGAACUUGUCUAAACCUUAUCAUCUAGAGGAAGGUGAAGUCGUAACA
rnacentral:rRNA from 1 species